rnacentral:rRNA from 1 species
GAUGAACGCUAGCGGCAGGCCUAACACAUGCAAGUCGAGGGAGAAGCCCUUUCGGGGGCAGACACCGGCGCACGGGUGCGUAACGCGUAUGCAACCUACCUUUCACAGGGGGAUAGCCCGAAGAAAUUUGGAUUAAUACCCCAUAAUAUUAUUGGAUGGCAUCAUUUGAUAAUUAAAACUGCGGUGGUGAAAGAUGGGCAUGCGUCCUAUUAGCUAGUUGGAGUGGUAACGGCACCCCAAGGCUACGAUAGGUAGGGGUCCUGAGAGGGAGAUCCCCCACACUGGUACUGAGACAGGGACCAGACUCCUACGGGAGGCAGCAGUGAGGAAUAUUGGUCAAUGGUCGGAAGACUGAACCAGCCAUGCCGCGUGCAGGAAGAAUGCCUUAUGGGUUGUAAACUGCUUUUAGAUGGGAAGAAUAAGGUGUACGUGUACAUUGAUGACGGUACCAUAUGAAUAAGCAUCGGCUAACUCCGUG